ensembl:lncRNA
AUCUUGCUGGAGAUCUCUGCCUGCCUGUAGCCUUCUAAAGGGUCCUCAGUGCAGUUCAGAGACGCCUUGUCUUGUGUUUCUCCUGGCUUCUCCCACACCACCGCUGUUCACUGCUUGCCCACAGGCACCUUCAAGGCUAGAGAGCAACAUUUCCUCCAGACAUCACUAACUUGUCCAAAAAUACCCUAAGAAGACCUGCGUUGAAGGUCAGCUCUCAAAUUCCAUAAGCUACUGAGUUUACCCUUUCGAGUUCAACUGAGUUCACCCAAUAGUUCAAUCGAGUUCAUCCUAUCAAGGAUCAAGCUUUUAACGCCGAAUAAGCAGUUACUGUGCCAAACACCUAUAUGACUUACUAUGAUUUAGAUGUACUGUAGAUAAUUGGUUUAGGGUCUUAAGUUCUACUUCUUUCAAUCUAACAGGAAAAAAAAAGGGGGGGGGGGGAAAUAAAAAGGGCAGGAAAUGGAAACUUUUCCUAACUAUACCAUUCAUCAACCUCCAAAAAUUUUUAUUUGUGCUUUCAGCAAAAGGUUAAAUUUUUGCAUUAGCUAAUUUUUAAAGCAAAUUUCUUCAAAAAGCACUUUAAAUGUGCAUCAGUAUUUACUAUAGAAAUGCAUUUUGAAGUUUCUUGCAGUUUUUCCAUGGCGAAAUAUUCUGCUUUUGAACAUCUUAUAGUGAUCUUAUUAAAUGACUUGCACCUCUGAUUUUUUAAGCCAAUGUGUGGAAUGAUAUGUCCUCAAAUGACUUCUGACCUUCUCUAUUCCCUUGAAAACCACACUGUUAAUACAGGUAUGUGCAUUUUACAGUAAAUAUUUUUCACUAUUAAAUGUGGUCACAAGAAGCCAAAGGUUACCAGCGUUGCCCAUGAAACCUGCAUAGCAGCUGGUAAAAUUAUGAAUACCCAGACUGUAGCAGUCAUUUUUCAUCUCCUUAUUUUCAAGCUAAAAUAACGUUAUAGCUUAUAAACUACAGCCCAAUAAAGUGAUGAACUCAGACAAUGCUCAGAGGGGAAGGAAGGAUGCCUUGGCACAAAUUAAGCGCAGUCAUUUAGGAUUUGUAAUAAAGUCUGGCAUUCUGCCCAUUUGCCAGCCAUUAAGUUAAGGGUCAUUUAAGCCACAAUCAAAAUUCUUUUGUUUGCUUUAAAGAAAUAAAGAGCUACUUUGAAUCGUUUAAAUCAUUAAAUCAUUGGAAGACACUUGUCUGUGUUUAAGAAAGGAUUCCUGCACUAAGCUGGUGUGGGUACUUUACCCUGACAGACUGUUUUCACACUGUAAAGCAGACUCUUCUGGGCGAAGUUUAGCACAGGGCUGUAAUGUACCAUAGCAGAGACAAAAAUGCAGUGAAGUAAUGUCAUCGGAUAACACUGAAAUGUUGGUGAGAAGGAAGCUGGCUGCUGACUAUCAUGCUCAGACGCACGGCAUACCUCUCAUCUGCCUCAUAGAGAGAGUCCUCCCCAGCUCCUGCAGACCUCAAGUCCAGAAUGCCUCUCAAGGUGUGAGCCCAAGGAGGGGCUGGAGCACAUCCAUCUUACUGGGCACAUGUGUGGCUGUGGAACAGCGUGAGCACUUCAGGCCAUGGUUUUAUGAACAUCUGAAGGGCUCACCAGGGCCAGCCCUUUCUUUUCCCACAGUCUUCCCUGUCUUAAUCAACUUUUUCCCUGUCCCAACUCACUCUGGACAAUUUGGGGGAUUUGGCAAUUUGUGAGGAAAAAAAAGGAUAUGUGGAUGGUAAUUCCGGCUCUGUGCCAGGCAGGAACUUCAUCACUCCCAGGAAAAUGGUGUAAAAACAGCAUUUAUAACAUGGAGAUGCAGUUCUACAGCUGGUAACAAUAAAAGAGGCUUCACUGUAUGAAAAGAUCAAGCUUUACACCUGUAUCAUCUAAAUCAGGUUGGUUUAAAUUCCAAUGCCUUCAGUUCUGCAAUACAUUUUCACCUAAGUUUAAUAUUGACUUCAUAGGGUGACCUUCAGCUUAUUUCACAGAAACCUUUUCUUUGGUCUUUUGGUGGGAGAAAAUUAAGAAUGAGGUUCUUGUGUGGGAGGAAUCACGGUAUGAAUGCUUGUUCAGAAUGUAGUAUUUAAUUUUGCCCUAUAUACAUGAAUUUCUCAGCGUAUUUGGUAUAUGUACCCAGAGCUUUCGGUGUAUUUUAAUUAUAUCUCAAUAAAUAUUGUGCCAGUUCCCAUCAUUAAUGUCUGGACCACAAGUUUGAUUGAAAUUUAAUUCAUUAUUGUUUAUUUCUAAUUGAUUUGUGUCUCACCCUGUUCCUUAUUUUUUGUGAGAGGUGCUGCUUCACCAGCAGGGCUGAUAAAUCCUAUGGCCUGAAAAGCAAAAAAAAAAAAAAAAAGAAGCUAUCACAUAUAUGCUGAAUUAUUCAUUUGAGAAUAAGUUUUAUUUAAUCUACUUUAUCUCAUGUAACUUACUUCUAAGACGUGGACUGAAU